rnacentral:tRNA from 1 species
CUAAGGAAGCCGAUUUUAGCAAGGGUGGCCGUAUGGCCCGCCUGGAUGCCCUUUGAGCGCAAGCGAAAAGGACACGCUAUCCAGGCCACGCAAAAUCCGCUUUUUAGAACAUAGAUGGCACCAGUCAGGUGACCAUCGAAACGCAAUACGCCGCGUAGACUUCGGUCACGACGGUAUGGCGAGCUUUCGCCGUCCACGUUUCUCUUUCUUCACAAGGAUAUCGAACCAUAGCUAGACUGCGCUUCGCGCUGUUUCUUGGCUUUUGGUGCUGUGCUUUGUGAGCGCAGGACCUUUUAAGAGAUGGGCCCGUAGCUCAGUUGGUUAGAGCACACGCUUGAUAAGCGUGGGGUCGGAAGUUCAAGUCUUCCCGGGCCCACCAUUUGCUUUUGUGGAUGGUUUGCUUGCGGUUUACUGAUCCCUGACGGUUUGACUGUCGGGUGUUUGCGAUGGUUGGGGCUGUAGCUCAGCUGGGAGAGCACCUGCUUUGCAAGCAGGGGGUCAGCGGUUCGAUCCCGCUCAGCUCCACCAAUUCGCUUUGGUGUCGAGACUGACGGAUAUCCUUUGAAGAAAAUACAAGUUUGCAUCGGCUUUUGAGCCUGAUGCCUGUUCUGCAUAUAUCGUGAAGAGAAGAUUGAUCUGGAGGCUUCCAGGUGUUUUGGGUUUUGGCCCAUGACGUCCGAGCCCAGUUCUUGUGAAACCAUGGAUGGCCUAGCCGGCCGGAUAUGGUGGAGGGGCUGGAGGGUGGAAGGAAGCUUGUCGCUCUGGGUUGUCCAGCGUAAACCGCAUAGCGGUUUAUCGCGUGUUGUUCGAUGUCUUUUGGCAUCGUCUGACGGACGACCGGAUUACCGUUGCCUGACCGCGCGGUAUCGGAUCACAUCUCGAGAAGCUGGUCUUAAGACCUGACACAAGCGAGCUGCUCGGCGUAGCUCCAAUAAAGUGAUCAGGUCGAACACGUCGAUGGCAUUGUUGGAUUGACUGGGUUGUAAAAGGUAACCCGGUCUGUUGCUGUUUCUUCGAAACAGGCAACGAGAUGAUGAGCAUUGGCAAUGAGAAC